UGAUUUUGGAUCCGACUGAGUGGCGAACUGGUGAGUAACACGUGGGUAACCUGCCCAGAAGAAGGGGAUAACACCUGGAAACAGAUGCUAAUACCGUAUAACAACAAGAACCACAUGGUUCUUGUUUGAAAGCUGGCCUUUGUGCUAAUGCUUCUGGAUGGUUCCGCGGCGCAUUAGCUAGUUGGUGAGGUAAAGGCCCACCAAGGCAAUGAUGCGUAGCCGACCUGAGAGGGUAAUCUGCCACAAUGGGACUGAGACACGGCCCAUACUCC
rnacentral:rRNA from 1 species